UACGUAGGGGGGCAAGCGUUGUCCGGAUUUAUUGGGCGUAAAGAGCGUGUAGGCGGUUUGGUAGGUCCGCUGUGAAAACUCGAGGCUCAACCUCGAGACGCCGGUGGAAACCAUCAGGCUAGAGUCCGGAAGAGGAGAGUGGAAUUCCUGGUGGUAGCGGUGAAAUGCGCAGAUAUCAGGAAGAACACCCGUGGCUAAGGCGGCUCUCUAGUACGGUACUGACGCUGAGACGCGAAAGCGUGGGGAGCGAACAGG
rnacentral:rRNA from 1 species